ACCACAUGAGCAUCGUUUUUGCUUCACAUUUUAGUGACUUUGCGGUUAACGGUUCGCAAGUAAAGGUGUGCUAAAGGAAUUGUUCAUCAGUCAUCACAAAGACAAAGUCUGGCAAAGACAUAUAUAGAUGUGCUUAAGAAAACAGAGCACUAUGGCUUCACUUGCUACGAUUUGCUGAGGUACGUCCUCACGCAUGAUUUUAUCAGUCAAAUCAUUAAGAUGUUCUUACGAUUCCAGAAGUGGUAACUUAAAAUAAUGUGCUAGAUGAGGCCAAGACUCGCAGUAAAGAUGUUCUUAUUGAGCACGGCACGAUGCCUUUUGUUAUUGUUUACAUUUUUGUAUUCUUGACUCAUUCACUUGUUCCGUUAUUAGUGUGAAAUCAUCCAACCUUGAUAUUUACUCUGUCCAGGUAAGGACGAAGAGAUGAUUCCUCAAGAGCUAGCUUGACCAAACAGCCCAGGUAGUUGGAGAUGGUGCUGUGAAGUAAGUGCUUAUACUAUGCAAAUGAUGCAUCCUUGAUGAAAGCACUAUUUUUUUCUGAAAAGUGUUUGUAAUGAUAAUGAAGGAAGUACCAAUGGGUUGGAUGUUCUUUAAGAUGGUUCAGAUAGUUAGAUUUUUUUAUAUUCUUAUGGUUGUUCAUAUGCUCAAUGCUAAGGUAACUGAAACCAUCUAGUUCUUUACAUAUAAAGAAAUGCGCUUACUGAUAAGAUGUCAUGAGCAGGGAAACACAGCUGUUUACCUUCUUUACACCCAUGCUUGGAUCUGUUCAAUCAUAACAAAGUCUGGCAAAGACAUUAAGAUGAAAGAGCACUAGGACUUCACUUGCUACAAUUUGCUGAGGUUAAUGGAUCGGAACAAGAGACAAGCCGUCUCUUAUUACUAUGUGAAGCAACAUCAUAGUUAUGUGGAACUGCUUCCACCUUCUCGGAAUCACUCCUGUUUACAAGCUUUUGAUACAUACAACCAAACGACCCCAAAGGCCCCC